AUUGAACGCUGGCGGCAUGCCUUACACAUGCAAGUCGAACGGUAACAGGUCUUCGGAUGCUGACGAGUGGCGAACGGGUGAGUAAUACAUCGGAACGUGCCCGAUCGUGGGGGAUAACGAGGCGAAAGCUUUGCUAAUACCGCAUACGAUCUACGGAUGAAAGCGGGGGAUCUUCGGACCUCGCGCGGACGGAGCGGCCGAUGGCAGAUUAGGUAGUUGGUGGGAUAAAAGCUUACCAAGCCGACGAUCUGUAGCUGGUCUGAGAGGAUGAUCAGCCACACUGGGACUGAGACACGGCCCAGACUCCUACGGGAGGCAGCAGUGGGGAAUUUUGGACAAUGGGUGAAAGCCUGAUCCAGCCAUGCCGCGUGCAGGAUGAAGGCCUUCGGGUUGUAAACUGCUUUUGUACGGAACGAAAAGCCUCUUUCUAAUAAAGAGGGGUCAUGACGGUACCGUAAGAAUAAGCACCGGCUAACUACGUG
rnacentral:rRNA from 1 species